GUGAAUCAUCAAAUUUUUGAACGCAAAUUGCACUCUCCGGUUUUCCGGGGAAGUAUGCCUGUUUGAGGGUCUUUUUAAAAAAUAAUCAAGGCUGCUGCUGUGUUGGCGCUGCGAAAGUGGGGCAUCUUCCACCUUUCGGGGUUGUAAACGACCUAAAAUUUUUCGUACGGUUUCUACGAACGUUGCGAAGA
rnacentral:misc_RNA from 1 species